rnacentral:snRNA from 1 species
AUCGCUUCUCGGCCUUUUGGCUAAGAUCAAGCGUAGUAACAGUCAGUCAUGCCUCACAAUGUGAAGACAAAAUGGAAAAUAUUCAAACUCAAGGUAUUGGAGGGAGAAUUUGCUUUUUUGUUUGUUUGUUUUAAAGAUUUAUUUUUAUUUGAAAGGCAGCAUUACA